rnacentral:rRNA from 1 species
CCUGAUCCAGCCAUGCCGCGUGCAGGAAGACGGCCCUAUGGGUUGUAAACUGCUUUUACAGAGGAAGAACCCUCCUUACGUGUAAGGAGCUGACGGUACUCUAUGAAUAAGGAUCGGCUAACUCCGUGCCAGCAGCCGCGGUAAUACGGAGGAUCCAAGCGUUAUCCGGAAUCAUUGGGUUUAAAGGGUCCGUAGGCGGGUCUAUAAGUCAGUGGUGAAAGUCUGCAGCUUAACUGUAGAACUGCCAUUGAUACUGUAGACCUUGAAUUAGUAUGAAGUGGUUAGAAUGUGUAGUGUAGCGGUGAAAUGCAUAGAUAUUACACAGAAUACCGAUUGCGAAGGCAGAUCACUAAUACUAUAUUGACGCUGAUGGACGAAAGCGUAGGUAGCGAACAGGAUUAGAUACCCUGGUAGUCUACGCCGUAAACGAUGGUUACUAGCUGUCCGGCCUAAUUGAGGGCUGGGUGGUUAAGCGAAAGUGAUAAGUAACCCACCUGGGGAGUACGUUCGCAAGAAUGAAACUCAAAGGAAUUGACGGGGGCCCGCACAAGCGGUGGAGCAUGUGGUUUAAUUCGAUGAUACGCGAGGAACCUUACCAGGGCUUAAAUGCAGUCUGACGUAUUUGGAAACAGAUAUUUCUUCGGACAGAUUGCAAGGUGCUGCAUGGUUGUCGUCAGCUCGUGCCGUGAGGUGUCAGGUUAAGUCCUAUAACGAGCGCAACCCCUGUGGUUAGUUGCCAGCACGUAAUGGUGGGAACUCUAGCCAGACUGCCGGUGCAAACCGUGAGGAAGGUGGGGAUGACGU